rnacentral:misc_RNA from 1 species
UGCAUCAUACAGUCUAACCAGGGAACAGCCAUCUUGGUUUUAGAUAACAUGGCGUCGAGGGCAAUAACGUAAUAAUUUCAUUUUAGAAGGAAGUGCCAGAUUUGAAGAUGAUUCUUGGAACUAAUUUGCGAUGUCUCAUGCUAUUGACUGGGUAUAUGAUUUUGGUGUUCGGAGACCCUCAGGCUUGUACGUAUACCGAAUCAUCCAACUCCUACGAAUGUAACGCGCACAACUGGGCUUUACCUCUGCAACUGACACAGUUCAACUACACACCACAGGUACUGUCUUUGAUACAGGUAAAUGGCGAGCUCCCAUCAUCAGCCCCCAGCGGCCCAACAUUUGACGGAUUUGAUGGCAUCGACAGCUCGACCCUUGACCCCAAUUACGUGCCCAGCCUCCACAUCCGGUGUGCUAUUACCGGUCAACUCAUCCUGACUCCGGGUUCUUUUGCAAACAUGUCCUAUAUAAACGAGCUUCGAUUUUUUGACUGUUCCGUGUUAAAUCUUGCUGAUACAGUUUUCAGUGAACUUGUGGAGCUGAACUAUCUCAGUUUUGACGGCGGGUUGGUGAGUAACGUCGGUUUUGAUGCCUUCUCUGGUUUGAAUAUCUAUCCUAUGGCCGUUCCCAACCCUCUGGGUCUUUUGGCCUUUCGAAAUUCUCAACUGACAUCUUCUGGACUUCCUAACGGCGUCCUGUACAACCUAGAGAACAUCACACAGAUUAUCAUAGAGAACUCCGCUUUACGAGUGUUACAACCAGAUAUGUUUAAGAAAUCGACAAAACUGACGUACAUUUCACUCGACAGCAACCCAUUUACGAAGAUCACCGAAGGGCUGUUCGCGGAACUUUCCGCGCUCUCGGUGGUGAGCAUGAGCGGCAUCAGUUGGGAUUGCACGUGCCCACAGCUCUGGUUUGAAGAUUACCUCACAGAAAACAAUAUAACAUUGAUAGGCGACAUUGUUUGUAAUACUCCGUCUGACUAUGAAAACAAACGUUCCAAACAGUACGAAUCGGAGACAUGUGCUCAACCUGAUGCAUGUGGAGACCUGCCUGGAAUCGCAAACGGAGAUACUUGUAUCACUUACUGGGACAUAGCAGCCUACAGCCUCCACCCCGUCGCCGUUGUCAUGGCAGCCGUUGCUCUUGGUCUAUCCAUCUACACAAGACGACAACUUGAUUUCGUCAAGGAAGACCGCCAGGGGACGCGACCUCAGCUAGGUCUCCGGAAGUUAAGUGGCUCCGGAUGGAACAGAAUUGUCAGCGAAAAACCAAGUGGUGGCCUAAGCAAGGCCACACCGAGAUCAUCUGUAGGAGGGAAAGAUAAUGACAACGCCAAAGGACCAAGUGACGUUAAGGAGGCUAGGCCCAGCAAAAAACAAAAUGGCGGUGAAACUUUGGUAAAGGAAACAAACAAUAACGAUAACGAGAUUACAAAAAUAGAAACUGAGGACAAUGCUGACGUCAGACAAAAGGCUGACGUUGAACUUUAGCUCUGGCGAAAAUAUGAAAAAAAAUUGCGUCAUAAAAAAACUAAUGUAAUUAAGCUUCAAUGAAAUAUACAAAGCUGAAAUCAUACAAACAUGUGGUCGAACCUAAGCUAUUAAAGAUUUUUAUGUGAUGACGUUGUGAAUAGAAGAUAUGGAAGCCCUGCAGUUUUAAGGUCCGUUAAGCGUGUCAUUUUAUGUAGAAGGUUUACAAAAGUUUACCUUAUCAACAGUUAAUGAUAACCGUUUCAACGAGAACGUUUCGGUUUGCUUACUUUUAUGUUACUUUAUUAAUGAAGUCGUGUGUAACGUAUAUAAACCAAAUUCAAGGAUUCAGCACUGUAAACUCAGGAUGAAAAACACUGGAACAGAUAUUUCAUUUCAAAAUGUACAAAAGUACCACAGAAUGUAUUGAAGGAAAGUCAUGUAUCACAACCAGUAAGUGUUUAUAUGUGACAUUUCAAUGAUUAGUACGGUACGUACCCUGUCAACUACAUCGGACAAACGACCAGUGAAGCGUAUGUACACAAAGUGAAAAAGAAUGUACGCGCUUUUAUUACGUACAAUUAUCAGACAAAUGACCAGCGAAGCGUAUGUACACAAAGGUGUAAAAUACGUACCAGCUUUUAUUACGUACAAUUAUCAGACAAAUGACCAGUGAAGCGUAUGUACACAAAGGUGUAAAAUAUAAAAUCAAAACCCGAUUCAAAUACGCUAACAUUUAUUCACACUAUGUAAAACCAUAUAUAUAUAUAUGUAUAAGUGUACAGUACAUACGCUUUCAGCAUAUUGUCGUCAACUGUUUGUUCCUGUUAUUUUGUUCAGUCUCUUGUCUUUAAUAUGUUGUUGGACUGUACAGUUGUUAAAAUGUAGCCAGUCCAUCACAACCUAAAGCGAUUAUAAAAUCCAUUAGACAAGAACAAAGACGUAUUGUUUCCAGCAAUUAUGGGAAGGAAGAGCACUCCAACAAAUAUGAGCAUCAAGUCGGCCUAAGGGAAGAGAAAUCACUCCUGUGAAACAGAACAAGCAAUUAUAGUCAAACUAUAUUGACCUGUCGUGUUUACUUUUCAAAUUACCAUUAUUUGAAGAA